rnacentral:rRNA from 1 species
UACGUAGGGGCAAGCGUUGUCCGGAUUUACUGGGCGUAAAGAGCGUGUAGGCGGCCAAACAGGUCCGUUGUGAAAACUGGAGGCUUAACCUCCAGACGUCGACGGAAACCGUAUGGCUAGAGUCCGGAAGAGGAGAGUGGAAUUCCUGGUGUAGCGGUGAAAUGCGCAGAUAUCAGGAAGAACACCAAUGGCGAAGGCAGCUCUCUGGGACGGUACUGACGCUGAGACGCGAAAGCGUGGGGAGCGAACAGG